rnacentral:tRNA from 1 species
GUUGUAGUGGCCGAGUGGUUAAGGCGAUAGACUAAUUUUUUUUGAUCUUCCCGCGCAGGUUCGAAUCCUGCCGACAACG